rnacentral:lncRNA from 1 species
AAUGACCUAAUGGGUCUUUUUUUCCAUCUCCACUGUUCACUUCUAUUAUUGUAGGCAAAACCAGAUUUGGCAAUAAAAUUAUGGAUUUCCAAUUGUCACUGCAAUGUUGCAGCACUCUUAUUCCAUAAUAAUAGCAGUAUUUGCCCACUUUUCAUUUCCCUCUAUAAACUUUUGUGUCUUAUUUUUCCUUCAAAGAGGGCUAUUUUGUAGCCCUCUGACUAAAAACAGCAGUCAGACAGCCUAAUAAUACUGCUUGUAGGUAUAGGAUAAAUAUUUGGGCCUUGUGCCUCCUAAUUUUCAUCAAGAACUCUUCAGUCAGACCUCAAGUCCAGGGUAACAGUACUGGGCAAAAUGUCACUGCUUGUAUCUAUGGGUCAUCCUGUGAAAUAAGGGGAUGCAUGUACAGCCAAGUGUUGGGCUUUUGUUGAUUUCCACAAACAUAAAUUAUGAAGGCAUGGCAUGCAGCACAUCUUUGUGAUUAGUAGAUAGGGCUCCUUAUAUGAUUUCAACACUUUUCUUCUUUCCAUUGAAACCAGUCUUUGACCUGGAGUGUUUUCACACUUCCUAAGAGGUGCAGGCAAAGGUGAUUCUUGCUCUUCUGUUCAGGCAUCUCCAGUACCCAUCAAUGCCCUGCAUCCCUUCCCUUGUUCUCAGAAACCCUACAUAGACUUAUAAAGUGAAGAGGCUCAAACAAAUGAUAACUCACCAAAAAUAACAGGUAAGAAAUGGUGCAAGGACAGCAGCAAUUGCACGUGGUGCUUUAUGGGCUUGCUUCUCAGCAGCUGUUUUUUUCUUUUUUUUCAGAUGGUAGUGCCAAGAAUUUUGAUAGUUAAUACUGAUGUCAAAACUGAAGUAAUGCUGCAAUGAGUCAGGCCCUGCUUCUUCGAAAUGCUGUGUAAAUAUUUGCCAGUUACUUUUCCCAGCAGCCAGCAAGCUAUGCAGUCUUGUUGCUGCUUUUUCAGAAGACAGAUUGGUGGAGGUGAAAUCCAGGAAGACCUGAGUGUUAUGUUACAGUCAUACAGCAAGGAUGGACAAAGGGCAUUGAAGCCCGUACUUCAUAAUCAGCCCCAGAUAAACCUAAAGAAAGAAUACAAAUCCUGUCUCAAAAAAGAGAGAUGAAGUGGCAGAAAUAAAGGAAAUAGUAGUGCAAACAGCUUUAUCUCUUCUGUAUAUGAAGAAUACUAGGAGUGCAUGGUCAAUGCACAUUUGGGAAAUUGAAUAAAAGGGAUGGUUCAGAGUUGCAGACGCUGCCUGGACUGUAAUCAGAAUAAGAAAAGGAUGGGAACGAUGAACCUGGGAUUUCCAGUUUGGUGCUGCAUCUAGGAGAAUGUUAAAGUGGAAUUGCAAGACAAGGAACAAGGAAACCUUGGAAAUAAACAGCCAUCCCUCUCUCCUCUGACCCAACACCCUCCACCUCCUCAGGUGAUGGUACAUCAUUUGUUUCCUUUCUGAAACAA